CUCCUUUGACGUUAGCGGCGGACGGGUGAGUAACACGUGGGUAACCUACCUAUAAGACUGGGAUAACUUCGGGAAACCGGAGCUAAUACCGGAUAAUAUUUCGAACCGCAUGGUUCGAUAGUGAAAGAUGGUUUUGCUAUCACUUAUAGAUGGACCCGCGCCGUAUUAGCUAGUUGGUAAGGUAACGGCUUACCAAGGGGACGAUACGUAGCCGACCUGAGAGGGUGAUCGGCCACACUGGAACUGAGACACGGUCCAGACUCCUACGGGAGGCAGCAGCC
rnacentral:rRNA from 1 species